AAGAAACGCUUGGUGUCUCACGGGUGUACUGAGGUGUGGCAGGGGACAGGACCAUGCAUGUCUUUGCGGUUCGGCUCGAUAGUUUAGGUGUAAAACUUCAAAGUUUGGGGCCUAACAAUCAUUUGGAAGAGAGUGCCAUGAUAUGAGGAAGGAAGGGCGGAGAUCGCGGGUCAAUUUGGUUGGUCCGAGGAGAAGACUGAUAGACUCGUUUCAUUCGAACACAACGACGGAGGCGGCAGACGCGGACUUCGGAAGCAGCAGAGUUCUGAUGAUUUAGAGAAAUGGAACGAAUAUUGUUGGUGGAUGGAUGAUAGAGGGUUUAUGGAUUGAUGCAGUAAUUUACGCUGUCGUUUGUAAGGGUCGCAUCUUCACAGGAAUUUCUUACUCAACCGAUGUAUUUGAUUAAAACAACAACUGACGCACUUCCUCAUGGUUGCCUGAGUUCUUCUCAUCCCAGGGACUUCAAAUUAGUAUUUUGGAGAAUCAACAGUCUUUCCUCAGGAUGGCUGGUCAAGACAGGCUGUGGUGAGACUCCCGAGGCAGAAUUCUGUAGGCUGAGCCGGGUCGAUCCAAUGCGUACAGAGUGUAGUUGUGACUUGGAACAAACUCAUAAAUUUCUUUUAAAAGCUUUAUGACCAUCAUAAAACAUUCAUGUAGGGUCCGCGGGAUAGGACUUUUGGCGGUCAGGCUUGCUGUACAUGUAAAUCGAAUAAAAGGACAUCCUCA